UACGUAGGGUGCAAGCGUUGUUCGGAAUUACUGGGCGUAAAGGGCGCGUAGGCGGGCCCGUAUGUCGAUUGUGAAAGCCCUGGGCUUAACCCGGGAAUGGCAGUCGAAACUGCGGGUCUGAAUGCUUGAGAGGAUGGCGGAAUUCCCGGUGUAGAAGUGAAAUUCGUAGAUAUCGGGAGGAACACCAGUGGCGAAGGCGGCGAUCUGGGAAGAUACUGACGCUGAGGUGCGAAAGCGUGGGGAGCAAACAGG
rnacentral:rRNA from 1 species